ensembl:snRNA U6 U6 spliceosomal RNA
GUUGGACAUGACUUAGCGACUAAAACAACAACAACAAAUACUAAAAUUGGAAGGAUACAGAGAAGAUCAGCAUGACUCCUGCACAAGGAUGACAUGCAAAUUUGUAAAGCAUUUCAUAUAUAU